UGAAUACGAGAUGCUACGGCGUCGAAGCAGUCUAUGUCAUACUUCCAAGAAAAGCUUGCACUGUCAUAAACAAAUAAUGCCUGUACCAUAACCGACACAGGUGGGUAGGUAGAGUAUACUAAGGGGCGCGAGAUAACUCUCUCUAAGGAACUCGGCAAAAUGACUCCGUAACUUCGGGAGAAGGAGUGCCUUAUUUAUAAGGUUGCAAUAACAAGACCCAAGCAACUGUUUAUCAAAAACACAGGUCUCCGCUAAGUCGUAAGACGAUGUAUGGGGGCUGACGCCUGCCCAGUGCCAGAAGGUUAAAGAAGUUGGUUAGCAUUAGCGAAGCUGAUGACUGAAGCCCUGGUGAACGGCGGCCGUAACAAUAACGGUCCUAAGGUAGCGAAAUUCCUUGUCGGGUAAGUUCCGACCCGCACGAAAGGCGUAAUGAUUUGGGUACUGUCUCAGAGAGGGACUCGGUGAAAUAGACUUGUCUGUGAAGAUGCGGACUACCUGCACCUGGACAGAAAGACCCUAUGAAGCUUUACUGUAACCUGAAAUUGAAAUUGGACUUUAUUUGCGCAGUAUAGGUGGGAGGCUUUGAAGAUAUUCUUGCGGGAAUGUUGGAGCCAUCAGUGAGAUACCACUCUUGUAAUGUUAGAUUUCUAACUUUGUAUCAUUAUCUGGUCAAAGAACAGUUUCAGGCGGGCAGUUUGACUGGGGCGGUCGCCUCCUAAACGGUAACGGAGGCGCACAAAGGUUUCCUCUGAACGGGUAGAAAUCGUAUCUAGAGUGUAAAGGCAUAAGGAAGCUUGACUGUGAGACCUACAAGUCGAGCAGGGACGAAAGUCGGUCUUAGUGAUCUGACGGUGCUGAGUGGAAAGGCCGUCACUCAACGGAUAAAAGUUACUCUAAGGAUAACAGGCUGAUCUCCCCCAAGAGUUCACAUCGACGGGGAGGUUUGGCGCCUCGAUGUCGGCUCAUCGCAUCCUGGGGCGGUAGUACGUCCCAAGGGUUGGGCUGUUCGCCCAUGAAAGCGGUACGCGAGCUGGGUUCAGAACGUCGUGAGACAGUUCGGUCCAUAUCCGGUGUAGGCGUUAGAAUAUUGAGAGGAGCCUUCUCUAGUACGAGAGGACCGAGAAGGACACACCUCUGGUGUACCAGUUAUCGUGCCAACGGUAAACGCUGGGUAGCUAUGUGUGGAGCGGAUAACCGCUGAAAGCAUCUAAGUGGGAAGCCCACCUCAAGAUAAGUAUUCUC
rnacentral:rRNA from 1 species